rnacentral:rRNA from 1 species
UGAGGAUGGCGGACGGGUGAGUAACGCGUAAGGAACUUGCCUCUUGGUCUGGGACAACUGUUGGAAACGACAGCUAAUACCGGAUAUUAUGAGAUUCUCGCAUGGGAAACUUAUGAAAGCUAUAUGCGCCAAGAGAGAGCCUUGCGUUCCAUUAGCUAGUUGGUGGGGUAACGGCCCACCAAGGCGACGAUGGAUAGCCGGCCUGAGAGGGUGAACGGCCACAAGGGGACUGAGACACGGCCCUUACUCCUACGGGAGGCAGCAGUGGGGAAUAUUGGACAAUGGGCCACAAGCCUGAUCCAGCAAUUCUGUGUGCACGAUGAAGGUCUUCGGAUUGUAAAGUGCUUUCAGUUGGGAAGAAGAAAGUGACGGUACCAACAGAAGAAGCGACGGCUAAAUACGUGCCAGCAGCCGCGGUAAUACGUAUGUCGCAAGCGUUAUCCGGAUUUAUUGGGCGUAAAGCGCGUCUAGGCGGAAAAAUAAGUCUGAUGUUAAAAUGCGGGGCUCAACUCCGUAUUGCGUUGGAAACUGUUUUUCUAGAGUACUGGAGAGGUGGGCGGAACUACAAGUGUAGAGGUGAAAUUCGUAGAUAUUUGUAGGAAUGCCGAUGGAGAAGUCAGCUCACUGGACAGAUACUGACGCUAAAGCGCGAAAGCGUGGGGAGCAAACAGGAUUAGAUACCCUGGUAGUCCACGCCGUAAACGAUGAUCACU